UUUCCGUAGGUGAACCUGCGGAAGGAUCAUUUCCGAACAAAACUCUUACAAACCAAUUUUGUGGAAUGUUUUGGGUUCUUUUUACUCUAGGAGGUGGGGUUUAGUUGCUGUAAUAGUGACAACAGUAAGUGCCAGUGGGUAUACUGCUAUUGCCCUCCUAUUACACUGCAAUGCUCGACACCCUGCACUUUUAUCCUAGAGGCCAUGAUGAACUACCUUCGGGUUGAUAGUUUCGUUCUUUACACUUUUUGUGAAAACAAAAUAAAAUGAAACGACAACUUUUAACGGUGGAUCUCUUGGCUCGU
rnacentral:misc_RNA from 1 species